AGUGGAAGGUGAACUUUCUGAGACUUAACUUGGCUUGCUUUACUGUAAAAUGGCAAAAUAGUGGUUUGGUUUCUGUGUAAAGGGAAUAGUGAAACCAAAGCAGACGACAGUUCAAACAAAGAGGCCGCGGAGGAGAAGCCGGAGGAGGACAACGACUACCACCGCAGUGAGCAUCUGCCUGGAGUGUAACAGCAGCAAACUGCGGGGGCUGAAGCGGAAGUGGAUCCGCUGCUCAGCCCAGGCGACGGUCUU
rnacentral:sRNA from 1 species